CACCACUCCAAUCUGCUCCAAGGAAAAAUAGACCUACUUUGAGCUGCUAAAUAAUAAAUAAGAAAUUAAUCAUCCAGCUUUUUUGAUGGAACAUUGCACAGCCUAUGAGAGUUAUCCUUCUUUCUCCAUUUUAAGAUAAAGGAAAAUACUAAGUUGGCAGAAUAUUAAGAGUGUGAACAGGACAUAGAUCAGACUCACAAUUCACGAAGCUUAGAAGAGCAAAUGCACUCAUUUUACAUAGAAAUUCAUUAAGACUCACCGG
rnacentral:lncRNA from 1 species